AUUGAACGCUGGCGGCAGGCCUAACACAUUCAAGUCGAACGGUAACAGGAAACAGCUUGCUGUUUCGCUGACGAGUGGCGGACGGGUGAGUAAUGUCUGGGAAACUGCCUGAUGGAGGGGGAUAACUACUGGAAACGGUAGCUAAUACCGCAUAACGUCGCAAGACCAAAGAGGGGGACCCUCGGGCCUCUUGCCAUCGGAUGUGCCCAGAUGGGAUUAGCUUGUUGGUGGGGUAACGGCUCACCAAGGCGACGAUCCCUAGCUGGUCUGAGAGGAUGACCAGCCACACUGGAACUGAGACACGGUCCAGACUCCUACGGGAGGCAGCAGUGGGGAAUAUUGCACAAUGGGCGCAAGCCUGAUGCAGCCAUGCCGCGUGUAUGAAGAAGGCCUUCGGGUUGUAAAGUACUUUCAGCGGGGAGGAAGGGAGUAAAGUUAAUACCUUUGCUCAUUGACGUUACCCGCAGAAGAAGCACCGGCUAACUCCGUG
rnacentral:rRNA from 1 species